rnacentral:lncRNA from 1 species
UUUAAUCCCUAUUUUUGCAUGGAACAAUUAUUUUGAAUUUAUGGUCCAUCGGGAUGCCCUAACUUUUACCUAAGUUAACUCAUUUUUAGUUUUUGACUUAGCGAACUCUUUUUGAAACAUGAUGCCCUAACUUUUGCCUAAGUCAAAUUUUUAGUUUUUUUUUUCUUUUUGACUUAGCAGGCUUUUUUUUAGACAACUCUUGUGAUUUUUGCUUUUGAUUUAGAAAGUUAUGACUGUCAUGUUAGCUAUCGUGAGCUUUAUACUUUCUCAGCUUCCUCGAUGUUAGAUGAUGUAUGCGGGGAAUAAGAUGUGCUUGAACCUAUUAUCCUUGCGAUUAGAUGGGAUAAUUUUCUUGAGAUCAUAAUGCAUCAUUGACUUAAUUGAAAACUACCAUACCCUUGGUAAAGAUUAAGGAUUUUUUUAAAUAGAAAGAAC